CAUGAGAGUUAUCCACGAUAACCAAUAAGCUAGCGCCACGUAUACAUUCAACCAUAGAGAAACGGCUGCUUUUCAUUAAUUGCUUUCUUUCCUCGAAGUUUGAAAGGUCAAACUCCCAAUCCAUAAAUUUCCAAAUAAAAAUACUUGAAUAAAGAAUUCCAAGACAGCAGGCUACAAGAAUCCAUACAUCCGUACAAAACCCAAAGGGGGAAAGAUAGCGGACAUUGAUAGGUUGUUGCUUGGAACCUCCGAUUUACAUACAGAAAGGUACUCGUGAACCGUACCGCGGUUACCCGCUUCCUAAUGAUUCAGUUUAAAUAGUUGGUCGGUCAAGUGAGGACACCGUCCCGUGUUCACGGUUCACAAUUUUAUUACUACCCGAAUUGAACUGCCCAUUAACACCCACACCUCCCAAAAACCAUCACCUUUCGCUCCGACAAGAAAACAUCUCUCAAAGUAAGUCUCCAGGUAGUCUUCUCAUCUCCAGGGCCGUUCCAAGUAUAUUUUGGGCCCGGGGCAAAAACAAAAAUGGGUCCUUCGAAAAACAAAUUGAUUCUAGUGCAACCGUAUCAAAUGUUUUCCUUUCUUUUUUGAGAUGGAGAGUUUACGUCUUAUUUAAAAUAUAGAUAAAAUUAAAAAUAGUUUAGAAGUGAAUUAUAUUUUUCGGUUAAAAAAUAAUAAUUAAAUAUAAACAAAAUUUUUUAAAAAUAAACUAUUGUCAAGUUCUAAAACUGGCCAUCUUGAAUAAAACUCAUUUUAUAAAUUUUUGGUGAGUAUGAUUUUUAUCAAAAAUGGAUAAAUAGUUAACUUUUAUUUCAUAAGAAAAUAAAUAGACUUGAUAAUUUAUAAUUAUGUAUGAUAUUAAAAAAUAAUUUAAGUGCGAAAAGUCUAAACUAAUUGUCAUUAAAUAUGUAAACCAACAUUUGGGCCAGCAUAUCAAAGGUUUAAAACAGUUAAUCUAAAUUCAAAAAGCCAACAUUUGGGCCACGUUAACUACAAGAAUUGAACUCAAGACACGUACAAAGACUGAACAGAGACAACGUCUUUUCUAGUUGAUUUGUAUUUAUGUUCGUUUAAAAUGUAACAUUAGUUAUAUAUAACUCUUAACGUCCAUUUUUUUGGGGCCCAAUCCAAUGAUGGGCCAUGGGCCGUCGCCCAGCUUGCCCACCCCCAUGGGUCGGGCCUGCUCAUCUCUCUGGUACUGAUACUUACAUUCCAACAAGAAACGUCUCGAGUUUCGUAUAUACAUACACAUGAAGUCAUCUAUGUGAAGUAAUCAUUAUAUCUUUGUGGAUGCAUGAAUGCCAAUAUCUACUUCUCA